rnacentral:rRNA from 1 species
GACGAACGCUGGCGGCGUGCUUAACACAUGCAAGUCGAACGGAAAGGCCCUGCUUUUGUGGGGUGCUCGAGUGGCGAACGGGUGAGUAACACGUGAGUAACCUGCCCUUGACUUUGGGAUAACUUCAGGAAACUGGGGCUAAUACCGGAUAGGAGCUCCUGCUGCAUGGUGGGGGUUGGAAAGUUUCGGCGGUUGGGGAUGGACUCGCGGCUUAUCAGCUUGUUGGUGGGGUAGUGGCUUACCAAGGCUUUGACGGGUAGCCGGCCUGAGAGGGUGACCGGCCACAUUGGAACUGAGAUACGGACCAGACUCCUACGGGAGGCAGCAGUGGGGAAUAUUGCACAAUGGGCGGAAGCCUGAUGCAGCAACGCCGCGUGCGGGAUGACGGCCUUCGGGUUGUAAACCGCUUUCGCCUGUGACGAAGCGUGAGUGACGGUAAUGGGUAAAGAAGCACCGGCUAACUACGUG